GUGCUUGGUUUGACAGCACAUAUACUAAAAUCGGAAUGGAAUAGAGAAGAUUUACAUUGCUUCUGAGCAAAGAUGACACACAAAUUAAUGGAGGAAUGGCAUAUCAAU